rnacentral:rRNA from 1 species
GACGAACGCUGGCGGCGUGCCUAAUACAUGCAAGUAGAACGCUGAAGGAGGAGCUUGCUUCUCUGGAUGAGUUGCGAACGGGUGAGUAACGCGUAGGUAACCUGCCUGGUAGCGGGGGAUAACUAUUGGAAACGAUAGCUAAUACCGCAUAAUAGCAGUUGUUGCAUGACAACUGUUUGAAAGGUGCAAUUGCACCACUACCAGAUGGACCUGCGUUGUAUUAGCUAGUUGGUGGGGUAACGGCUCACCAAGGCGACGAUACAUAGCCGACCUGAGAGGGUGAUCGGCCAAACUGGGACUGAGACACGGCCCAGACUCCUACGGGAGGCAGCAGUAGGGAAUCUUCGGCAAUGGACGGAAGUCUGACCGAGCAACGCCGCGUGAGUGAAGAAGGUUUUCGGAUCGUAAAGCUCUGUUGUAAGAGAAGAACGAGUGUGAGAGUGGAAAGUUCACACUGUGACGGUAUCUUACCAGAAAGGGACGGCUAACUACGUG